rnacentral:lncRNA from 1 species
AUGAGGCAGAUCCCUCUUCCACAGACUACAGGAGGCCUGGAGAGGACCAAAGGCGAGAGUAACACAGCCUGUCAGUUUUCUCCAUCCAAGACUGUCCCUUUGAGGAUGGUCCUCAGGGUCAAAGCGACUACUGGCUAUCCUGCAGCCCUAAGCUCCCAGAGCUCCAGGCUCCCACAAGCUCCCAAGGUGUCAGCCAACUCCCCUGAGCUGUUUGAAGAGUUCUGGCCUUCCAGUUCAGGGACCUCAUCCCCACCCAGCACCACUGAGGGACAGAUGGACUCCUCCUCACCGCCCACCCUAACUGACAGCGGGGAGUCUGUGGUGGCCAAGUAUAUAAACAGGUUCCGCCAAGCUCAGCCCACAAGCCGAGAGGAACGACAGUGUACAGACCCUACCCCAACUGAUUUUUGGUGGCUACAGACUGAGUCUUCAGACCCAAGCAGUCAACUUGCAGCAGGACCCAGUAAACCAGAAGGAAGGCGCAGUCCAGCAGUCCCAGCUCCACCCAAGGUUGCCAGCACAUCCCAGGCUGUGGCUCCCCUUCAGAAAAUAAAGCAGAGCCUCAACACAUGGAACUCAUCCCUGCUGGACCUGGAGACACUGAGCCUACAAAGCAGAGCUUCCAGGCUGCUCAAACGCAGCAAGGCCUCCAUCUCCUCCUCAUCCCUCAGCCCCAGCGAUGCCAGCUACUCCUCCUUUCCUGUCAGCUCCAGUGGCCUCUCUCCCUUCUCCAUAACCUUCGCUCCUGAAUCCAUCAAGGACUCUGGCCUCAGAACAGCUGCAGCCCCAGCGCCAGCCCAGGCCCCCAUUCCUGCUCCAGCCCCAGCCUCCUCCCAGGCACCCCUUCGGCCAGAGGAUGACAUUUUGUACCAGUGGCGGCAGCGGCGGAAGCUCGAACAGGCUCAAGGGGUCAAGGGUCACGGAACCUGGGUGCUGCCCCAGACUCCUGCCCUUGCCACUCAGCCUUCUGCCCCUGCGGUGACCCUUGGUUCCCUGGCGACCCAGCCUACCUGGGUUCCACUGUGGGGCAGUGUGGCCCAGCCAAGUCCUCCCGAGGCCUUCUAUGUGGAGAGGCCUCCUGUUCCCCUAGAGUCCUCUCCUCACAUCUUUUGGGCCCCCAACACCCAUGGGUUCUUUUGGACCCCACAGUCUAGUCCCUGGGUAUCUCUCGGGACCGCUCCUCCCCCCCCACUGGCCUCCACCCCAGUUCCCCUGGCUCCCCCGGGACCCCCAGCCUCCACCUCAGCUCCCCCGGUCUCCAGCCAGACUUCCCUGGCCUCCAUCCCAGCUCCCCUGGCCUCCUCCAACUCGACUCCCCCCACCACCGCUCCCACAUCCUCUACCACGCUCCAGAGCCCGCCUACCCCCGAGCCAAGCAGCUCUAGUCAGCCGGAGAACGUAGGCCCCAAGCCUCGGAAGGCCAGAGCUUCGGGCUGGGAGGCAGCCGGGCAAGUCACAGCGGCCUUCGAGGGGCCAGGCGCGCAGCUUAGGGGCGCCCUGGGCCAGGUGGUGACCGCGCGGCUGUUCUCGGAUAGCCUGGAGGACACGCCCCCUCGCCGUGAGGCCCCUCCCCUGGAAGUCAAGGCCACGCCCUCCAGGGCUAGGGCCACGCCCCCUCGGUCCGAAUCCAGUUGUCCGUCUAAGGUCAAGACCAUGCCCUCGCCAGACGAAUCCGUGCUUCGGCAAGGCAAAGUCACUCCCUCAGCCAAAGCCGGGUCCCCAAAGCCUAAGGUCCUACCCUCUCCAGCUGAGAGGGUGUCCACACUCCCUGAGGCCCCAUCGCCUCUGCUGGAGUCUGGAUCUCUUGUGGCUGCUGCCCCGCCCUUGUCCGCGAUUCACCAUGACCCCUCUGAGGACCUGUUCUCCCAAGCCGCCCGACUUCUGGAGGCUGCGGAAGACUCUGACGGCAGCGAGUUUCAGGAUGACCCUGUACUGCAGGUGCUUAGAGCCCAGAGGGCAGAGCUGCGACUGCAGAAGAGGUGAGCCUCUGAGAUGCCCAUUGGUGCCUACCCCUCCUAAGCUCCUUUCCCAAUCCAUAGUCUCAGACCCUAGUCCUGAGCACGUACCCCAACCUCUGUCCCCUGGCUUUUCCCCAGGAAAGUGGAUUCGAGAUUAUCUCUCCUGAUGGGCCACACUGAAGACCUGAGAUCUUGGUCCCCUCCAUCCAAGUCACCUCCCAGGUCUCCAAGGAGGUGGCUGUGGAGAGAAGGAACGUCUUUUGAGGCCAGAUGACUUUGAACUGAAUAAAUUGUUUUCCCCAAUGAAAUAUUUUUUUCCAAGUAGAGUCAAUGUCAUGUCCCUUUGAAACUGUGCCCCCUCAACAAAUAGAAUACAGAGGAAAGGAUGCAGCUUAACUUCCAAAGUUCAAUUUUAAAAGAUGAUACUGACUACCUAGUUUACUUUUUCUUCCUCAUUCUCUUACUCUUUGACACUUGCUUUAGAGACUGGUUUUUAAAACUUGCCAUGCUAAGGAUGGAUUACACAAGUGUAUGCACUUACUAAUCUCACUGAAAUUUGUGAAUUUCAUUGUAUAUACAACUAACCUCAGAAGAAAAAUAUAUUUGAGCUAUAGCUAAAGGUAUCUAUGCUAAAAUAUUUAGGGAAUAGUGUACCACUCUGCAAUUUGGACUGAAAUACAAAGACUAGUUGGACAAUCUUUGUAAGCAGAUAGAUGUGAGAUAAGGCAAAUAUAGUAAAAUGUUUAUAAUAGGAUCUAACUAUGGACAUAUGGAUGUACGCUGUAAAAUUUUUCAACUUACUAUAUGUUAAAAACUUUUCAUAAUAAAAUGAUGGAUAAUAUAUGAUCAGGAUUGUCUUGAUAUCUGUAUUGAUAAACAAGGGGAUAGAAAGCUUG